rnacentral:misc_RNA from 1 species
GAUGAAGAACGCAGCGAAAUGCGAUAAGUAAUGUGAAUUGCAGAAUUCAGUGAAUCAUCGAAUCUUUGAACGCACAUUGCGCCCGCCAGUAUUCUGGCGGGCAUGCCUGUUCGAGCGUCAUUUCAACCAUCAAGCCCCAGGCUUGUGUUGGGGACCUGCGGCUGCCGCAGGCCCUGAAAACCAGUGGCGGGCUCGCUGUCACACCAGGCGUAGUAGAUUUUAUCUCGCUCAGGGCGUGCUGCGGGUUCCGGCCGUUAAAAAGCCUUUUUUACCCAAGGUUGACCUCGGAUCAGGUAGGAAGACCCGCUGAACUUAAGCAUAUCAAUAAGCGGAGGA